GACAGAGGUGCCGAGCGUUAGGCGGAAUCACUGGGCUUAAAGCGUGUGUAGGCGGAUCGUUAAGUACCUUGUGAAAUCCCCCGGCUCAACCGGGGAACUGCUGGGUAUACUGGGCGUCUUGAGCCACCUAGGGGCCAGCGGAACAAAUGGUGGAGCGGUGAAAUGCGUAGAUAUCAUUUGGAACGCCAACGGUGAAAACAGCUGGCUGGGGGUGUGCUGACGCUGAGACACGAAAGCCAGGGGAGCGAACGGG
rnacentral:rRNA from 1 species